rnacentral:rRNA from 1 species
GUGCCAGCCGCCGCGGUAAGACGAACCGUGCGAACGUUAUUCGGAAUCACUGGGCUUAAAGCGCGUGUAGGCGGGCCGGCGCGUCCGUGGCUGAAAUCCCCCGGCUCAACCGGUGAAGGGGCGCGGAUACGGCCGGCCUGGAGGGGGGUAGGGGGCGCCGGAACUCACGGUGGAGCGGUGAAAUGCGUAGAGAUCGGUAGGAACACCAGUGGCGAAGGCGGUCUCCUGGGGCAUUCUUGACGCUGAGACGCGAAAGCUGGGGGAGCGAACGGGAUUAGAUACCCCAGUAGUCC